UUCAGGCUCAGUGUGCUUUCAUCUGUACACAUUAAUGGAAAUCUGGAGAUAGAAAGAUUUGGGUAUUGGUUCAGCAGCUCAAUGAUGCCAGGGCCAGUGUGUUGGCAUUCUUCUGGCCUUAUCCUCAUGGUUGCAAAUUGGUUCCUGCUGUCCCCAGUCAAAGGAGGAAGAAGAGGGAAUUGGCAGCAGUUAUCAGAGCCUUUAUCAGAAAAGCACAGAUUUCCCAGGAAUCCCC
rnacentral:lncRNA from 10 species